rnacentral:rRNA from 1 species
UGGGGAAUAUUGGACAAUGGGCGAAAGCCUGAUCCAGCAACGCCGCGUGAGGGAUGACUGCCUUCGGGUUGUAAACCUCUUUCAGCGGGGACGAAGCGCAAGUGACGGUACCCGCAGAGGAAGCACCGGCCAACUACGUGCCAGCAGCCGCGGUAAUACGUAGGGUGCGAUCGUUGUCCGGAAUUAUUGGGCGUAAAGGGCUCGUAGGCGGUUUGUCACGUCGGGAGUGAAAACUCAGG